rnacentral:rRNA from 1 species
AGCUCCAAUAACAUAUACAAGUUGUGUUGCAGUUAAAACGCUCGUAGUCGAACUCAGAUUAUUAGAGGUAACCUGUGAGUAAACCCUCAAUAUCAAGUUUAUGUUGUGUUAAAGCAUAGGAUUCUUGCCAGGUGAAGUUUCUGUCGUCCCAAAUGGUACGAGGAGACUUGGUAUCAGAUAGAGAAGGAGCGGGGUAUGGAGAACUGGGUGGUAAGAGGUGAAAUUCGGUGACCCACCUAGGACUAACUAAGGCGAAAGCACCAAUUUUUUGAAACCAGCACUUCCUCG